rnacentral:lncRNA from 1 species
GUCCUCUCUGAUCUCAGAAUACUACUGUAGCUAGCUCACCCUCAGAUAAUGGUACACACUGGUAAAACCUGAAUACACAUAUUUAUAAAAUGGGGAAGUAAAUGUAAUUCUAUCUUUUAUAUUUGGUGACACCAACAUUUCCAUUAAAGACUGUAUAGUAUCAUAAAUUUAUUAGUAUUAAAUAGGCAACUUGAAAUAAAAAGAUAAAGCAUGUUUUCUAACAAUUACACCAAAGUCAGGUGGUACCAUUUUGUACAAUGGCAAUAACGGCAUGGUUCUUGGAGAUUUUCAGUGAAUCAGGAUUUUUUUUCUGAUACCACAUUAUGAGUAAGCCUUAUAGUCAGGCUCUGGAAGGCUAUUGGAAUAGGUAAUUAAAUGCAGUCUGUGCACUGACUGGCACAGAAGGUGAAGAGAGAAGAAGUCAUACUGGCUGGUGAUGUUCUCUGUUGCUGUGACAAGAUUUGAGAAACUGGAUGAAACCAAACCCAGUGAGUUCCCAAUCCAGAGCUGCCCACUUUCACAGUCACAGGUAUAUAUGAAUGGUUCUUGCUUGCUUCAUGCUGGGGAAUGUCCACUGACGUUGCCUGCAAACUUCUGGCCACUUGGAAAACCAUAGCCUCUUCAUCACUGCUAAAGUCAGUGCUGGAGCAGCUGAAGCCUCUCAGACAUGUGUGACCCUGUUCCACACCCAGCACUACCCUUUAUUUCUCUCAUUCAAAUACAGUCUUUGCCUUAAGGAAGCAACAAGAGUAUGCCUAUGACCAAAGCCUAGAAAAUACUGAAAAUAAAGAUUGUAUUCAGUUGUAGGAUGAUAGCUGAUUUUUAUUCCAUUUUAUAAAAUGUAUUUCAUGAUGUUAUAAUAUUAUUUUCCUAAUGAAACCAUCAAGUGCUUUGUGAUUUCUAGGUUUGCCCCAAGGUGGCAGAGAAAUAUCCACAUGUCCAUCACUUCUGUGAAAUGCUAUUUGGAAUUCCAUGUCCAGUCACCCUGUUAACACUGUAACGCAGCACAGCACCACUUGCUAAGGAUCUCUAAACGCUCUAUGUGUGAUCAUUGCAUGAGUGGUCAAUUUCUUGUGCUAGGGUGACAGGGUAAGGAAAAACACCCACACUGGUGAAUUGCUGACGAAGGUCAGACCUUCACCUCAGCCAAGCGCAGUACUUAAAUAGUAUGUCUUCAGGGCCUCUCCCUUUAUACUUCUUCCAUGCUUUUUUGGUAGGACCUCAAAAUGAUACAUUUCAAAGUCUCCCUUUCCCAUCAAAACAUUGUCACAUUUUCUUAGGGCUCUAGUCAUUGCAAAGGGUUAAUAGGUAGUAAUGGAUUAAUUUCAGAAGUUGAUCCCUUGCACUAUCUACACAGUGUUGUAACUCAAGUAAAACACCUUUCACUACUAUUUAGUCUCUUUAGGAGACAGGGGUUGGUCAGUUGUAUCAAAAUAUUUCAUAUCACACUUGUAACAUAGCUGCUCACUAUAAUUCUGCUUAAGGGUAAACUUACUCAAGAACAUCAAUAUCAUUUCUCAUCAAAUGAUCAGAGAAACUUCCUUGUCCUUCAUCCUCCUCUUCGUUUACAGCAUCCCUAAAUAAUGAUUCCAACAGCUAAAGGCAAUAGGCCCGAGAGGAUUUUGGGAAUUUAGACAACCUCCUUCCUACUACAGCCAAACUAUCUUUUCCAGUUCUGCAACAAAUAUGGAGUUUGCUAAACUGAACUUCUCUGAGCAUCAGUUCUCUUAAGCAAAAAAGAGUUAUUGUGAUGAUUAGAAAUAAUGUAUGCAAAGUAGCUAAUUACAGACCUGGCUUUCAGUAGGCAAUCAAUAAAUUGUAACUAUUUUUAUUUUGCUUAUAAGCUAGAUUUUCUUACUGGGGUGGUACGUACUAUAGAAAACUAGCAGAGUCUAGACAAGGAAAAAAUAUACAAAAUUAAUUAAAGCCACAACCAGAUCCUCAGAAAAUGUUUGCAAACCUGUUCUAAGAUGCAUGUGGCACCAGUGACUGUAGGAUAUAUGACUUCUUUGGGCGCUGGACUAGGAUUAGGCAAGUGAGGCACCUAGAGUGCAAAAUUUAAGGAGGCAUUCACUUUCAGGGGAAAACCCUGGACUCAGAUAACCCUGGGAGUGGGUGCUUCCUUAAAUCUGAUACCCUGGACACUUCACUGCCUCAGCCUAGUCCAGGCCCUGUCUGACUUCUGCCUCCUUUCAGAGGGCAUAGGAGAGAGUGUGGUCUACUGUGUGGAUGGCUUGAGGGAGCAGGGAAAGGAGGCUGGCUUGGGCUCCUGUGGUUUUGGACUUGUGUCUUUUGGCUGGUGCCAAAGGCAGGAGCAUCUGGGCUUUCUUAUCAGGGGAAUGGGAAGUGGUGAGACUUGAAACC